rnacentral:rRNA from 1 species
GAUUAACGCUGGCGGCGUGCCUAAUACAUGCAAGUCGAACGCACCUUCGGGUGAGUGGCGGACGGCUGAGUAACACGUUGGUACCUGCCCUAAACUCGGGAAUAAGCACUGGAAACGGUGUCUAAUGCCCGAUAGUCUCUUCGGAGUAAAGCUUUUGUCGGUUUAGGAGGGGCCGUGCGCCCGAUUAGCUAGUUGGUGAGGUAAUGGCUCACCAAGGCAGAGACGGGUAGCUGGUCUGAGAGGAUGAUCAGCCACACUGGUACUGGAACACGGACCAGACUCCUACGGGAGGCAGCAGUGGGGAAUCUUGGUCAAUGGGCGCAAGCCUGAACCAGCGAUGCCGCGUGAGUGAUGAAGGCCUUCGGUUGUAAG